ensembl:snRNA U6 U6 spliceosomal RNA
GCGCUCGCUUCGGCAGCACAUAUACUAAAAUUGGAAUGAUACAGAGCAGAUUAGCAUGGCCCCUGUGCAAGGAUGACAUGCAAAUUCGUGAAGCGUCCCAUAUUUUU